AAGAACACUCUGCUAUGAAGUCAGCGAGGGCUUGAGACUUUAUGGCAGUGCGAGGUCGAUAUUCCAAACAAUACGGGUUGAUCUCGAUGGACCAAACAAGCAUUCGACCUGAGGUUUCCGGUCUAUGGAGAAUCUUCUUCAGUGGCUGGUCUGUCAUCACUACUCCUUAAUGACUUUCUAGAUAAACUCUGAAUUUUUUGACCGCCAACAACAAAGCGUACGCUAUUUUCUCAAUGUUCAGGUAUCUUACUUCGGC
rnacentral:lncRNA from 1 species